rnacentral:pre_miRNA from 2 species
CACCAGUAGCAGUUAAGCUGCCAGCAUGAUCUUGUCUUCCUCUCUUAAGCUUCAUAUAUAACUAAGCUAAGGAAUAAUAUAAUUUUCUUGUUCUCAUAAGAAUAUAUGAUAAUAGCUUAGAGAGAGAGAGAGAGAGACUAGGUCAUGCUGGUAGUUUCACCUGCUAAUGAC